AAAACCUAAUACAACGAAAGCCCUACCUCUCUUUCGUCCUUACAACUCCAUGGUUGUGCCAGUGUGAAUCGGUCUUUCUUUCCUACC
rnacentral:sRNA from 1 species